rnacentral:rRNA from 1 species
GAUGAACGCUGGCGGCGUGCCUAAUACAUGCAAGUCGAGCGAACAGACGAGGAGCUUGCUCCUCUGACGUUAGCGGCGGACGGGUGAGUAACACGUGGAUAACAUACCUAUAAGACUGGGAUAACUUCGGGAAACCGGAGCUAAUACCGGAUAAUAUAUUGAACCGCAUGGUUCAAUAGUGAAAGACGGUUUUGCUGUCACUUAUAGAUGGAUCCGCGCCGCAUUAGCUAGUUGGUAAGGUAACGGCUUACCAAGGCGACGAUGCGUAGCCGACCUGAGAGGGUGAUCGGCCACACUGGAACUGAGACACGGUCCAGACUCCUACGGGAGGCAGCAGUAGGGAAUCUUCCGCAAUGGGCGAAAGCCUGACGGAGCAACGCCGCGUGAGUGAUGAAGGUCUUCGGAUCGUAAAACUCUGUUAUUAGGGAAGAACAACUGUGUAAGUAACUCUGCCCGUCUUGACGGUACCUAAUCAGAAAGCCACGGCUAACUACGUG